CCCAAGUCAGAAUGGAAUGAAAAAGAUGAUUUUCUGGAUGUUAUCUACUGGUCUCGACAGGUUAUUGGUAUCAUUAUAGGAGUGUUUAUGGGGAUUCUCCCAUUUAAAGGUUUGCUUUAAUCAACUGUGGCGUUGUUUAUUUCUACUGCACUAGCUUCCAAUCCAUUGAUGACGAAGCUUACGGCGGAAUGUGGGAAAUAAUAAAAGAAGGAUUCAUGAC